rnacentral:rRNA from 1 species
CACAUGCAAGUCGAGGGGUAACAGGGAUUGCUUGCAAUCCGCUGACGACCGGCGCACGGGUGCGUAACGCGUAUGCAACCUACCUUUUACAAGGGGAUAGCCCAGAGAAAUUUGGAAUAAUACCCUAUACGAUCAUUAAUUGGCAUCAAUUAAUGAAGAAAACUCCGGUGGUAAAAGAUGGGCAUGCGUCCUAUUAGUUAGUUGGUAAGGUAACGGCUUACCAAGACUCCGAUAGGUAGGGGUCCUGAGAGGGAGAUCCCCCACACUGGUACUGAGACACGGACCAGACUCCUACGGGAGGCAGCAGUGAGGAAUAUUGGACAAUGGAGGCAACUCUGAUCCAGCCAUGCCGCGUGCAGGAAGACGGCCCUACGGGUUGUAAACUGCUUUUAUACAGGAAGAACUAUAUCUACGUGUAGAUAUUUGACGGUACUGUACGAAUAAGGAUCGG